UACGUAGGGACCAAGCGUUGUCCGGAAUCAUUGGGCGUAAAGAGCGUGUAGGCGGCUUGUUAAGUCUUGCGUGAAAUCUCGGGGCUCAACCCCGAGCGGUCGUGAGAAACUGGCAGGCUAGAGUCCGGGAGAGGUGAGUGGAACUGGCGAGUGUAGAGGUGAAAUUCGUAGAUAUUCGCAAGAACACCAGUGGCGAAGGCGGCUCACUGGCCCGGUACUGACGCUGAGGCACGAAAGCGUGGGGAGCAAACAGG
rnacentral:rRNA from 1 species